UUCCACUUUUGCCCUCUUCUCCACACAAGUCUUCACCGCCGGCCUUCUCCCCCCAGAUCUACCGGUCAUUCAUCAGCCAUGGCGCCUCCGCCGCACCGCCACCUGCUGCUCCUCCUCCUCCCUCUCCUGCUACUCGCCGCGGCCGUUACACUCACCGGCGCCGACGACCUGGUCGCGGAGCUCCAGUCCCUCCGCGCGCGGUCCCCCUCCGGCGUGAUCCACCUCACCGACACCUCCGUCACCCGUUUCGUCUCCGCCCCGUCCCCGCGCCGCCCCUACUCCGUGCUUGUCUUCUUCGACGCCUCCUCUCUCCACUCCAAGCCUGACCUCCACCUCCCCCAGCUCCGCAGCGAAUUCGCGCUCCUCUCCGCCUCCUUCCUCGCCCACAACCCCAGCUCCGGCGACCUCUUCUUCGCCGACAUCGAGUUCGCCGAGUCGCAGCACUCCUUCCACCAGUUCGGCGUCAACUCCCUCCCCCAUGUCCGCCUCGUCCGGCCCGAGCACGACCGCCUCGCUGGAUCCGAGCAGAUGGACCAGUCCCACUUCGCCCGCCUCGCCGAUUCCAUGUCCGAGUUCGUCGAGUCCCGCACGGGCCUCGAGGUCGGCCCCAUCGUCCGCCCGCCCCUCCUCUCCCACAACCAGAUCAUCCUGCUCGUCAUCCUCUUCUUGAUCUCCAUUCCCUUUAUGAUCAAGAGGAUCAUGGAAGGGGAAACCCUGCUCCAUGACCGCCGGGUGUGGAUGGCCGGGGCGCUCUUCGUCUACUUCUUCAGCGUGUCCGGGGGGAUGUACGGGAUCAUCAGGCACACGCCCAUGUUCCUUACUGACCGGUCGGAUCCCAACAAGCUCGUGUUCUUCUACCAGGGGUCGGGGAUGCAACUUGGGGCUGAGGGGUUUGCAGUUGGGUUCUUGUACACGCUCGUGGGUCUGAUGAUUGCUGCGGUGACACACUUGGUGGUGAAAGUCGAGAGCCUGCAGACACAGCGGUUCGCGAUGCUGGUUGUCAUGGUGAUCGGGUGGUGGGCAGUUAGGAAGGUGAUCUACUUGGAUAACUGGAAGACUGGGUACAGCAUUCAUACCUUCUGGCCGAGCAGCUGGAGGUGAAAUUCUGGUUGCGAGGUGAUGGAUGCUUCUUUCCUUUAGUUUCAGAGUGGGAGUAGGAGAGAAUUUUGGGAGGAAAUUUUGAAGAUCUUUUCCAUUGUCAGUUAAAAGGAUAUGGAAUCAUCCAAUUUGACUUCGCUGAGGUAGAAGUAUUGUUGGGAUUGUGACAAUGGACCGUGUUUAGAUUGCAGUUCUGAGCUGCCGUGGUUUGAAACAGAGAAAACUGAUGUCGUCUUAGCAUACUUUGCGCUCCUGAUGCACAAUCAGAAAAGUCGAGAUUUUGAUGCGAUGCGAUAUGAUAUGGUACUUUUA